rnacentral:rRNA from 1 species
AGCAGCCGCGGUAAUUCCAGCUCCAAUAGCGUAUAUUAAAGUUGUUGCAGUUAAAAAGCUCGUAGUUGAAUUUCGGGACCAAUCUGCCGGUCGUGCCUCCGGUACGCACUGGUUUUAUUGGUUUCUCCCUUCUGACGAACUAUGAUGUCAUUAAUUUGGUGUCAUGGGGAAUCAGGACUGUUACUUUGAAAAAAAUUAGAGUGUUUAUAGCAGGCUCACGCUUGAAUACAUUAGCAUGGAAUAAUGAAAUAGGACGUUUGACCCUAUUUCGUUGGUUUCUAGGAUCGACGUAAUGAUUAAUAGGGAUAGUUGGGGGCAUUAGUAUUCAAUUGUCAGAGGUGAAAUUCUUGGAUUUAUUGAAGACUAACUACUGCGAAAGCAUUUGCCAAGGAUGUUUUCAUUAAUCAAGAACGAAAGUUAGGGGAUCGAAGACGAUCAGAUACCGUCGUAGUCUUAACCAUAAACUAUGCCGACUAGGGAUCGGAUGAUGUUAAUUUUUUAAAUGACUCAUUCGGCGCCU